GACGUAGGGGGCCAGCGUUGUUCGGAAUUACUGGGUGUAAAGGGUUCGUAGGCGGUGCGGCAAGUCGGGAGUGAAAUCUCUGGGCUUAACCCAGAGGCUGCUUCCGAAACUGCUGUGCUUGAGUGUGGGAGAGGCGCGUGGAAUUGCAGGUGUAGCGGUGAAAUGCGUAGAGAUGUGGAGGAACACCGAUGGCGAAGGCAGCCUCCUGGGCCAAUACUGACGCUCAUGCACGAAAGCGUGGGGAGCAAACAGG
rnacentral:rRNA from 1 species